AAGUCGUAACAAGGUCUCCGUAGGUGAACCUGCGGAGGGAUCAUUAACACGUAUCCAAACGUAUCUAAACCCAAACCGUGCUCCUCUUUUUCCCAUAUCAGAAGGUGUAUAUGCAAGCCAUUAGAUAGAUUCAAGAUUGGAGCCCUCUCUCUCGGGAAAGGGUAAAGGUCUUGUCUACUUGCAGUACUAUUUGUCCCCUCGAGGACUGAACCGAUUUGAUAUGGUGUAUGAAAGCUAUCUGGUUAUCAGUGCCACCCCGGUUUCGACCCGGAGCCUGGUAGCCUUAUUACUCCCUAUUUUUAACCCCUUUCUUUUACUAAACUACUGACUUUACUUUGAUUUGGACCUCAGGUCUAAUCAAGUGUAUACGAAACGCGAACAACUCUUAGCAACGGAUAUCUUGGUUCUC
rnacentral:misc_RNA from 1 species